CUCCUCCCAGUCCCUUCCCUCCCCUUGGCUCCCAUCACCACUGCUCCCAGUCGAUCACAACUCUGGGAAAGCAAUGUUAAUCAUCUGUCUCUGCUGAUAGUGACACUGUCACUGUGACUCUGUCUCACCUUUCCUACACUCUCACCUGCUUUUCAGGAGACUGCAGAGCUGCCGGCUCGGACGCGGCAGGCAGAGAUGCCUCAGCACCAGUGGAGUGAAGCAGAAGCAUUUUGAGAAAAAACAGAAGUCCAAGUUAGAAGAAAAGUACCACAAGAUGAGGAUGGAAGAGAAGAAAUAAAAAAGUUCUGCACUAAAAUAUGCUUCCUCUGAGUGUAAAUAUAACUCUGUUACUUGUAAACCUA